rnacentral:snRNA from 1 species
AUCACUUCUCAGCCUUUUGGCUAAGAUCAAGUAGAGUACCUGUUCUUAUCAGUUUCAUAUCUGAUACAUUCUCUAUCAGAGGACAAUAUAUUAAAUGGAUUUUUGUAGCUCGGAGUUGAAAUAGGAGCUUGCUUCAUCCAUUCUAUGCAUCAACCUGGUAUUGCAGUACCCCUAGGAACGAUGCACCCCCU